GUGAAUCAUCAAAUUUUUGAACGCAAAUUGCACUCUCUGGUAUUCCGGGGAGUAUGCCUGUUUGAGGGUCAGUUUAAAUUAAAAAUCGAGGUGUUGCUUUUUUUUGUGACGCAUGGGAAUUGGGUUAUCUUGGUCUUUUGGAUUUUUUAAGGGACCUAAAAUUGAUACUUGUGGCAUCUAAGACGAAAAUAAAGA
rnacentral:misc_RNA from 1 species